UACGGGGGGGCAGCAGUGUUCGGAAUUACUGGGCGUAAAGGGCUCGUAGGUGGCCAACUAAGUCAGACGUGAAAUCCCUCAGCCUAACUGGGAACUGCGUCUGAUACUGGAUGGCUUGAGAUUGGGAGAGGGAUGCGGAAUUCCAGGUGUAGCGGUGAAAUGCGUAGAUAUCUGGAGGAACACCGGUGGCGAAGGCGGCAUCCUGGACCAACACUGACACUGAGGAGCGAAAGCCAAGGGGAGCGAAACGGG
rnacentral:rRNA from 1 species